rnacentral:pre_miRNA from 14 species
CCCCGGGCACUUGAUAGAAAUGCACAUUCCUGGGUCCCACCCAGACCUACUGAAUCAGAAGCUCUGAGAAUGGAGUCCAGGAAUCUGUGUUUUAAC